AGACGUCUACAUUAGAUACCCGGUAGUCCCAGCCGUAAACGAUGUGCGUUAGGUGUAUCGGUGACCACGAGUCACCGAGGUGCCGAAGGGAAACCGUGAAACGUGCCGCCUGGGAAGUACGGUCGCAAGGCUGAAACUUAAAGGAAUUGGCGGGGAGCACCACAACGGGUGGAGCCUGCGGUUUAAUUGGACUCAACGCCGGGAAGCUCACCGGAUAAGACAGCGGAAUGAUUGCCGGGCUGAAGACUCUGCAUGACUAGCUG
rnacentral:rRNA from 1 species